GUCACCUCAGCCCUGGAGUAUCUGUCAUAGUAGCACAUUGUUCUAAAUUUAUUCAUUAUGGCCACAAAGGCCAAGAGUGAGUCACAGGGCCAAAGAAGCCCUGAGACACUUCCUGUGUGGCGGUGAGAGCAUACACAAGAGUUAACAGAGUAAUCAGAUUAAGAAAGGCCACGUGGAGUUUACUAGCAUGCACUUCUACAGUUGUAUUAUUAGAUUUUAUUUUUAACAUCUGUGAUGGUUUGAAUAUGCUUGGCCCAGGAAGUGGUACUAUUAGGAAGUGUGGUCUUGGUGGAGUAGGUGUGCCCUUGUUAGGGGAAGUGUGUUACUGUGGGGUAGGCAAUGAGACUCUCCUCCUAAUCACGUGGGAACCAGUCAAUCUUCUUCUAGAGGCCUUCAGAUGAAGAUGUAGAACUCUCAGCUCCUCCUGCACCAUGCCUGCCUGGAUGCUGCCAUGUUCCCCUUGAUGAUAAUGGACUGAACCUCUGAACCUCAGAGUGGAAAAGAAGCAAGCUUGUGUAGAAAUAAAUGUAACUCUUCCAGCCAUGCUGAGAUGAUUUAUUUAUGUGGAACCUAGUGGCUGUGGUGCCAUGGUAAUUCUUCUGGGUUUGAGCCACACUGAGGAAUCUUUGUGUCAGAAGUUUUCUAUGUGGUCUGAGCAGGUUCCCUGCACUACAGAAGAGGCCAGAAAGCAGGUUUUUGGCCCCACAGGGGAUCCUACCAGUAAUCAAGCAGUUAUUGAUGCUUGCUUCCCCCUGACUGACCCAGAUUGGAACUUUAACAUCAUUGAAGAGAACUAAAUCUUGGCUGAGUAUUGAUACUGAAGAAUGUAGACCAUCAAGGAUGUAGACCGUCAAGGAUGUAGACCGUCAAGGAUGUAGACCGUCAAGGAUGUAGACCAUCUGGCUGGAGAGAUGGCACUGACUGCUCUUCCUGAGGUCCUGAAUUCAAUUCCCAGCAACCACAUGGUGGCUCACAGCCAUCUGUAAUGGGAUUCGAUGGCCUCUUCUGGUGUGUCUGAAGACAGCAACAGUGUACUCACAUACAUAAAAUAAAUAAAUGUUUAAAAAGAAAAGGAUGUAGACCAUCAAGGACGUAGACCAUCAAGGACGUAGACCGUCAAGGAUGUAGACCGUCAAGGAUGUAGACCGUCAAGGGUGUAGACCGUCAAGGGUGUAGACCGUCAAGGGUGUAGACCAUCAAGGGUGUAGACCAUCAAGGAUGUAGACCGUCAAGGAUGUAGACCGUCAAGGAUGUAGACCGUCAAGGAUGUAGACCGUCAAGGGUGCAGACCAUCAAGGAUGCAGACCGUCAAGGAUGCAGACCGUCAAGGAUGCAGACCGUCAAGGAUGCAGACCGUCAAGGGUGUAGACUGUCAAGGGUGUAGACCGUCAAGGAUGCAGACCGUCAAGGAUGCAGACCGUCAAGGAUGUAGACCGUCAAGGAUGCAGACCGUCAAGGAUGCAGACCGUCAAGGAUGCAGACCGUCAAGGGUGUAGACCGUCAAGGGUGUAGACCGUCAAGGAUGCAGACCGUCAAGGAUGCAGACCGUCAAGGAUGCAGACCGUCAAGGAUGCAGACCGUCAAGGAUGCAGACUGUCAAGGGUGCAGACCGUCAAGGGUGCAGACCGUCAAGGGUGUAGACCGUCAAGGAUGCAGACCAUCAAGGAUGCAGACCAUCAAGGAUGCAGACCUCAAGGAUGUAGACCGUCAGCAUCUUUGGAGUUUUGAUUGCUCACAAUGAGAACACUAAUGGCAGAAGUAUGUUUGGGCUGUUAUAGGAAUUGUUGGAAAUUCUGCUCUAAUCUCAAGCCAAAUUUUGUUUGUUUUUGUUUUGUUUUGAGAUAGGAUCUCAUGCAAUCCAGGCUGACCUUGAAUGUGAAGUGCAUCAGAGGAUAACCUUGACUCGUGAUCUUCCUGUCUCCAUUUAUGACUUUUAAAAUGAAACUCCAGUUAGCAGCUGUCUUAGUUAGGGUUUUACUGCUGUGAACAGACACCAUGACCAUGACCAUGACAACUCUCAUAAAAGAAAAUAUUUAAUUGGUGCUGGCUUACAGGUUCAGAGGUUCAACCCGUUAUCAUCAUGGUGGGAAGCAUGGCAGUAUCCAGGCAGACAUGGUGCUGGAGGAGCCAAGAGUUCUACUUCUUGAUCCAAAGGCAGUCAGGAAAAGACUCUUCUUCCACACUGGGAGGAGCUUGACCACUAACAGCCUGUAGUGGGUUGGCCUAAUGCUGCUUGAAUCUAAUGCUAAUUUGGAGCCCCUAACACUAGUUACCUCACACAUAAGACACUGAGUGACCCUGCCCCUAGUUAAUUGUGAUUGGUAAAUAAAGCUGCCAAUAGCCAAUAUCUGGGCAGAGGAGACAAAGGUAUGGUUGAGGUUUCGUGUGCUUGGGGAGAGAGGACCAUGAGGAGGGAAGGAGAAGGAAGGAGACACUGUGGGAUAGAAGAACUUGCAGGAGAGGAGAAAGGAGUGUGGCCAUGGGAUAAGAGAAAGAGAGUGUGGUCGUAAGUGCUGCCUAGGGAGCUAAGAGCAUCCCAAAUGAACGGAGUAAGUAAACUCAGGUUAUCAAUGGGAAGUAGAUUCUAACACAUGGAGGAUAGGCAGCUGCCCAGUAUGCUUAAGGCAUAUUAUAAAUACACAGGCUGAGUAUGUCUUUCUUCUGGGAACCCAAUAACCAAAGGCAGGGUAGAGGAGUCCCAGGCUGGGAUUUUUGAUAUUUUUACUACAGGAGCCCUCAAAGCCCCUUCCCACACUUUCUCCAGCAUGGCCACACCUCCUAAUAGUGCCGCUUCCUAUGGGCCAAGCACAUUCAAACCGCCACAGAAAUUUACAUGGUACUUUGAUCUUCUUAUUUAUUUUUGAGACAGGGUUUCACUAUGUACCCAGUCUGGCCAGGAACUGAAGUUAAGGCUCCUGCCUCAGCCUUCUUAGAUGUCCUGUCAGGCCAAGUUCAGCUUAGCUCAACCUCAAGCCUUGCCUCUGUUUCUCCAAGGCUCCUCUCACCAUCUACAUGCCUCAGGUCAGCUCACCUCAGCUCACACUUACGCACUGAGUUAGUGUCCCUUGCUCCAGUAAACUUUCCUGUCCCUAGACUCAGCUGUUCUGUCUGCUUCCUUGUAAGACUGUAGACGUUGGGACAGUAUCUAGCAGGUCCACCGUGGGUCCCACGGCCCAGGCUGGAUUCCAGAUACGCAGUAGAAAUAUGCUGUAGGAACUGCCUCCCCCACACCCACCCCUUGGCUGAAGGCCAGGCUGCUUUCUGAGUUCCUCACUGAGGAGGAGCCAAGCUUCACCUUGCCCUACUGCUCCCUGUCUGGAGAUGCAGAAAGGCCGGCUGUGCCCAGUUUGUGUGUAUUUAACCCAGACCACAAAUGCCGAAUGGUAUCGCUGACUCAGCAAGUUGACCUCAUUUACAGCGCACAUGGCAUGGCUGAAGAUGCGGUUCCUUGUCCCCAGCCCCGACUCUCUUAUUUCUGUUGAAGAACUGAAUUCCUCUUCGUGGGUGUCCACAGGCAGGGAGGGCUGCUCCUAUUGCUUCCCAGGAUGCCGUGGAGCAUCUGUAAUCCAGGAGCAUCCUCCCAAGGUGGGAAGAGGAGCCAACCAGAAACAGUGACCUCUGCAGCAAGGAAGGCCUUCUGUGGGAGCCCUAGGGCUCAGAAAGGAGUUGCUGUGGUUUGCAGCGAUGCUAUAGAGGGAGGAGAUCUGUUUCUGCUUUUAACCUGGGAACAUGGAUGCUAGUCACCGAAAAUCGCAUGUUCCUGAUUUUCACUAAUUUAUUUGCAAAAAACCAAAACUGUUUCAUUUAUUAUUAAUUUUUUAAAAAUCAGGCCAAAUGAGUUCUGAUCUCCUAUUGUUGGAACAGAGAAGGGCGCAGAGGAGCAUCUGUCUCCAGCCAUAGCCUUGGCUGGGUGACCAAUGACCUAAUGUGAAGAUGCUUAUGAUAGUUAGCCCUAACUCUUUUUUUAAAAGUUUACAAUGGUGCAAAGGUAAUAUGCAUUCAGUAGAAACACGCUAUAAUAAAAGAAAUUAAUAAUUUUUCAGUGUUUAAAUCCCUGUCCUUCAUUUGCUGUGAUAAAAAUAUUUCGAGGAGAGCAAAGGAGACAGGUCAGUCGAUAAUGGUGGGAAAGUCACGGUUACAGGUGUGUGAGGCAUCUCACCACAUCCCACCCACACUCAGGAAACAGAGAAUGAUGCACACUAGUGCUCAGCCUUCUCCUGACAUCUGCCCCAGCCCUGGAUCCCUGCUAGGGAAUGGCAGCACCCAGAGUGGGCAAGCCUCAAAUCAGCCACUGCAGUCAGGAUAGCACCCACAGUCAGGAUAGCAGCACAGGCACACUCAGUCACUGCAGUCAGGAUAGCACCACAGGCACCCUCAGUCACUGCAGUCAGGAUAGCAUCCACAGUCAGGAUAGCAUCACAGGCGCGCUCAGUCACUGCAGUCAGGAUAGCACCACAGCCACCCUCAGCCACUGCAGUCAGGAUAGCACCCACAGUCAGGAUAGCACCACAGGCACACUCAGUCACUGCAGUCAGGAGAGCACCCACAGGCACACUCAGAGGCCCAUCUCCCAGAUUUUACAUUCUGCCAACUUGACAAUUGUCACUGACCAUCACAACUGGCUGCCAGUACCUGGUCCAACCCUGCCUGAGACUGGGCACUGGAAGCUUGUGGUUAGCUGCUGGAUCAUGAUACUACCAAACACUGUCUCUCUAAGCUAGGGAACAUGCUUUAAAUUCACCAACCACUUACCAUUGUGUUCUCAACUUACUUUAGAUUUAUGAGGAAUUAAUCCCACCACUAAUUGAGUAGUAUUCUUCCAUAAAGUUGUAAGGAGUGUUUAGCCUAAAGUAAUCUUUGUAAAAUAUUAAUCAUAAGCCCCAGAGUAAACCAAGAAAGCAUAUCAAUAAGGCUAGAUAAACACUUUUGACAUAGAUAUACAGUGGAAUACUACUCAGCAAUGAAAAAGGAAUCAAAUUAUAAAAUGCAACAUCACUAAGCCAAAAGAAGUAAAAGUUAAAAAAGAAGUGCAAACUCUGAAUAUAAACUAGAGAGAUCUCUAAAUAACUAUGCUGUGCAUAUGGAACUAGACCAUACAGUAUAUACUGCCUGAUUCCACUUAUAUUCAAAAAGGCAAACUAAUCCACUGUGACAAAGCAGAUGAACUGUUGCUUGUGCUAAAGGAGGUGGGAGGGACUGGAAGCCCUGAAUCUGGGACUCACAGGGUGGAAGGAGAGAACAGAGUUCUGUGAAUUGUCCUGUGACCCUGACACAUUCUAAUAAAUCCAGUACAAAUGAAUAAAUCUAACUUCAAAAUAAUUUAAAAG
ensembl:lncRNA